AUCUGCCAUGGAUUGUAGGCACUCAGUCAAGAGGAUGAUUGAGCAUUUCCUAAGCCCAAGUAUUCGGAGUUGACAUGCCAUGGAUUUAAACAGGGCUUAUACGAAUGGAGCAAGAAUAUUUCAAAGCCCAAUACUCUGCCUUUCGCGUACUCUUCACUGGAGAGAGGGGAGGGGACAGAGAAGCAGAGUUUCUGGCAGCUGGCAAAAGGCAGAGGAGGAGGGAAGAGAGGUGUCAGGUGUCUGGAAGUUUCUGUGUAAGAUCAGGCAUCUGCAGAUUAAAUGAACGUUCUCCACACGGAAACAGAAGCCAGCAGAUGACCUGGCAGUUCCAGACUUCAGGAGCUGGCUGUCAGUACCAGAGGAAAAUCCCCACUCUGCCCAGCCCAGGUGGGGCCAGCGCUGCAGAGAUCCUGACCGUGUGCAUGUGUUCAGCGCAACUACGGCUCAGUGUAGUCUGAACACGAAUGAUUGUAAUCCCCUCGUGUUUAGAGGUAGCUUGCUAUAGUUUCAUAAGGUUAGAAUUUCAGGGAAUUAAACCCGGCUCAGAUCAACCUCCACCCCCAGCCAGGCGCGUGGAAGGCUGUUCAUUUCCUGGGGCUGGCGCGGCGCAGCCAAGUGCCGCAAGCUGGGAGCUUGACGCAGCAGAAAUUCACCAUCUCGCCGCUCUGGAGGCCAGAGUCUGAAAUCAGGGGUCAGCAGGGCUGUGUUCUUCCUGGAGAGAACCCGUUUCACGCCUCGCUCUUGCAUUCCGUGCUACUCGCGAUCCCUGUGGGCAUGGAGGAAACAACCCGGACCUGCUUACCACUGGGCAUUUCCACUGAAAUGGCACACACACAGAAUGCAUGUCAGCGAGGUCUGUGAUGCAGUGAUUCAGCCAGCUGAGGCAGAAGGAUCACAAGUUCAAGGUCAGCCUCAACAACUUAGUGAGACCCUGGCUCAAAACCAAUUGAAGAGAACUGGAGGCACCGCUCAGUGCAGAGCAAGAAAGAUAUGUGCAGCUGGGUUCCUUCCUGCAGAGCCCGAGUGGGAGAAGCAAAAAGAAAAGUAGGUGGUGGCAGCCAAGAAGGAGAGCAGUAGAAAACCCCUGAGGCCACCCGAGAAAGAGGAACAAGGGGGAGUCCUUCACCAAGAAGAAAUGAUACCCAGAGAGUAGCCACAGGUAAAUUAAACGAUCCCACAGCCAGCUACACGUCUCUGCACACAGCCACACAGAGGGCCUUUAAGAACCACCAGAGGAAGCUCUAGAGACAACAAUGAUCAGGGCUUGUGGAAAAUGCUGGGGCCAACCCGAGGGCUUUACUGACCCAUCAGAGCCAGGAAACAAGGAAGAAGACUCCCGGGAGAGGAUAGUGUAAACACCUGUGGGAAAGAACACAGACCUGCUCAGAACCGCUCAGUAACUCCUUUGUUUCUCUAUCUGGGGAAUGAUCUUCCUACUGGGAAGUGUAUAAGCAAAAGAAGCUUAGAGAGCCGUGAAACCCAGAGGGCCAGGGGCCCUGCAGCUUUAACCUCCUGAUAAACGCUGAGAUAGUGAAGCAGACAGACCUGCAAGCUCAGAUGAGCCAGACUCCAAGGAUGGGAACGUGGGCAAAGAGAGAAACAAAAGAUCCCCCAAAGGCUCUGAUGUGAUUUUUUUAAGAAAACGAGGGAAAGGUGGCAUAGACAGGUUAGUGUUUAUUCCUGGCUGAAGAUUAGAAUCUGUCAUGAAGCAGUCAACUUCUCAGCCAUAGGCAUGAGCUGCGAGAAUAGGCCAUGCCAAAGUAACCACACUUUCUCCUUUUGUGGGACUGUCACUGGAUUCACAGAUGGGGGGAGUUCACAGAGAUCAUGCACAUGGAUGUUGGCCAAGAUGCUCACGGAUCCAUGUAAAUAAGAUGGAAAACAUGAAUUUGAUAGGACCACAUUACAGCCAUGGGCUGGAUGAUCCCUGACCUGGGGUGCAGGCCAGCUGACAACAAAGGCCCCUCCUAGUUCCAUAACAGGAACACUGAGUUGAUGGCAGUUUUGAGCAAGAAGCUGUUAACUGACUGAAUUUCUAUUGGUGUACUUGGCUCUGGGCAUGCAAAGAUGUGUUGUUUCCCCAAGUGAACCUGUUCCUCAGAGGUGAACCCCCGCAAUUCCACCAAAAGGUCUCUCAAAAUCUUGUACAUGAAUAUUCACAGCAGCAUUAUUCUUAACCGUCGAAAAAGGAAAUAACUCAAAUAUCUAUAACUGAAGAGAUAAAUAAAAUGUGUAUGGCUACCUUUAAGAUCUGUGCAUUUCUCCAAAUAUAAAUAUCACCUAAUGAAAGAAUGAAAACACAGAAUGUGGCAUAUCCACACAAUGGAAUAUGAUUUGGCAUAAAAGGGAAUUAAAAAAUGAUGAUACACCCUACAACACUGAUGAACCUUUAUAACAUUAUGCUAACUGGGAGGAGACAGUCACAAAAGACUACACAUUGUGUGAUUUCGUUUUCAUUUCUUUAUAUGAAAGGCUUUGAACAGAUAAAGUUACAGAGCCCAGAAAGAUGAGUGGUUAUAGGUGAAUGCAUAAAGAAAAUGUGGCAAAUACAUACAGUGGAGUUUUAUUCAGCUAUCAAGAAAGAAGAAAUAGUGUCAUUUGAAGGAAUAAUAGAUGGAAGUCGAGACCUUUAUGUUAAGGGAAAUAAGCCAAACCCAGAAGGUCAAGGGUCAUAUGUUUUCUCUCACAUAUGGAGGCUAGAGAGAAAAAAGCAAAAGUAAAGUUGGGGGUGAUCACAUGAAAAGCAAAGGGAGAGUGUAACAGAGGAAAGUGACCAGGUAUGGGAGGAGGGAGGGAGGGGGUAAGUGAUGAGGAGGGUAUGGACUAAAUUACAGUGUUCUGUUGUGUGCAAGUGCAAAUAUGUAAAAACAAGUCCCACCAUUAUGUACAACUAUAAUGCACCAAUAAAAAAUGUGGAGGAAAAAAAAAGAUUCAUGGUUGCCUAAGUGGGUUCAAGGCAAACAGGGGGACUGUUAAUAGACACAGACCUUCUUUUGGGGAUGCUGAAAAGUUUUAAAACUGAAAGUGGUGAUAGGUGUUCAGCUAUAUGAAUACAAAGAUCAUUGAAUUGUGUGCUUUCAAUGGGUGAAUUAUAUGGCAUGUGAAUUUUUUCUCAAUAAAUCUGUUAUUUUUUUAAAAGUUGAACUACUAAUGAAGAUACAUGCAAGUAAGUAUAGAGCGUUCUGGUUGGUUCCAUAUCAGAGGUUCUAUUAAUUUACACAUUUACUUGCCAGUCUGCUCUACUGCAUGGUACAUUCCUCUAAGGAAGGAACCCUGGAUUAAUCAUCUUUGUAUCCCCAGCUUUUAGCAGAUUCUUAGCCCACAGAGGACCAUCACUAGAUGUAGUUGAAUGCUUGAUAAGUUGGUAGCAUGCUAGCCAGCAAUCGAUUAAAAACUAGAGCAACCUAGCCUCAAUAAUGCCUCCUCUGUAAACGUAUGCACUGAAUAUUUCCGUAAUUCCUCAUUUCAAAUAUCCACUUUCUAGCAUUAAAAUGCCAAAAUUGAUUAAAAAAUAAAAAAUAAAUGACAAGCCUAUGCUUUUGCAAGCAGUUAGUCAAUGUUAAAAUUCAGACAGGUAAUUCAAAUGACAUGCAAACAGCCUGGCAGCAGGAGAUGAACUUCUUUACUAAGAAAAAGAGUUCCACAAUGUUUUGACUGAAAGUGUGGCGUCCUUCAUCUAGUUAAUCUUUCACUAUCAAGUUUGAUUUUUCAUUAUUGCACCAAAAUCCUCCAAUUCCAAAGUAAUCUUCAAUCUUCUCAAAAAACUUCUGUCAUGGUUUGGAUAGGAGGUAUCCCCCCAAAAGCGCUUUGUGUUAAUGCAGGAAUAUUCAGAAAUGAUUAACUGUGAGAGCUGUAACCUAAUCAGUCCAUCCUAGUUUGAAUGGAAUGACUGGGAGUUAACUGUAUGCAUGGCUGGAGCAAUUGGGUCACUGGGGACGUGUCCUGGAGGGACGCAUCUUACUUCGCAUCUUUGCUGCAGCCCUUCUCUGCCCACUUCCUGACCCCACUGGUGAGCUGAGCAGCUUUCUUGCACUGGGCCCUUCCCUCAUGAUAAUCUGCCUCAUCCUGGGCUCAGAGCAAUGGAGUUGGACUGAGACCUCUGAAACUGUGAGCCCCAAAUAAACUUUGCCUCCUUUAAGUUGUUCUUGUCAGGCAUUUUGGACACAGUGAUGCAAAGCUAACUAAAACAGCACCCAUUGCCUGUUUGUUGGAGGUGAAUGCCUUUGCAGAUGUGCAAUGGCAUAUGCUGCUUGAAAGAGCUCUCUGAGGCUCCUUGUUCUGUGAAUCGUGGCUCUUCUGUUUCCAUAACCUCCCCAUGACUGAGCUACUGAAUGAGAACUUAACAAUUCAUGUCCAUCUGUAAGAUAAACUUCUUUAUUCAAUAUAGAGUGUAGCCGAGGAGUAAGUUUUCUUCUUUUACAAUCCUAAAGGUGUUACUGUCCAAAGGAGUCUUGUUUCUUUGGAAUUAAAUUCUUAGCAUAUGGAUUGUAGGAAAAGAAUGAAAACUGAAACUUCACUGAGAUGCUAUUUCUCACUUCUCCGAGAGGCAAAAUCCAAAAGUGGAAUGACAUACUUGUUGCUGGUGGAAAUGCUAAAUGGUCCAAUCCUUGUAGAGGAUAACUGGAAAUAACUAGUAAAAUUACAAACAUUACCUUUAUACCUAGCAGUUUCACUUCUAGGAAUCUUUUCCAAAGAUGUGCUCUCAAAAACAAGAAAUGCAUAUAUACAAGGCUUUUCAUUAAUAACACUGUUAAGUAUUAAAAACUGUUUCAUUAAAUCAGGCAACAAUCAAACCAUCUUUUUUUUGCCACUUCUUCUAAACUCUUUUACAUGCAUUGAAAGAAAAUAGUGUUUCUUUUACUAAUUCAGAGGCAAAAUAAUUUGUGAUAGCAGUGGGCUUCCACCAACUAUUUUCUUUAUGUUAAAAAAUUGGGGCUGGGGUCAUGGCUCAGAGGUAGAGCACAUGCCUAGCAUGCGUGAGGCACUGGGUUCGAUUCUCAGCACCACAUAAAGCAAAAUAAAGACACUGUAUCCACCUAUAACUAAAAAAUAAAAAUAUUUUUAAAAAUUGUGCUCACUGCUUAAAGGAACAAUUUGAACUGGGAGCCUCCUUCCUGUAUACCCAUUCCUGACUCCCAUCACCAGGUGGAGAAAUAAGACUUUUUGCUACUUCAGAGACUUCCCAGCAUAACUUCUAAAGAUGUCUGAGCUGUCUUCACAGCAAAGGAAAAGGAAACAACAAUGUAAAGAGAGAGCCUACAGAAUAGGAGAGAAUCUUUGCCACUUGCACCUCGGAGCAUUAAUCUCCAGGAUAUAUA